UUGAAUUUUAAUGAAGAGUUUGGUUGUAGCUGGCCCAUUCAUUUGGGCAUGUGCACACCUUCCUCUUUCAUCCCACACACACCUGUGAACCUGAGAGACAGAGAUGGGGAAUUUACUUGCUGCUUUUUGGAAUACAAAGGCAAUAGGUUAUUGGACCCCCCCUCUGUCUACUCAAUUAAUAUAAACUCAAUUUAUUUUAAAACGAAUGUAAUGGAUGUAACACAUCUCAUAC
rnacentral:misc_RNA from 1 species